GCCGAGAUAGCUCAGCUGGUAGAGCAGCCGCUUCGUAAGCGGCAGGUCGUGGGUUCAAAUCCCAUUCUCGGCU
rnacentral:tRNA from 1 species